CCCCAACACAACUAAAUUUUCCACUGUAAAUGUUCUAAAUGGCUUUCAGAAAUUUUAAAAUGGAAUGAUGGAGAUUUAAAAACUAUGGAAUGAUGUUCAAGCUGCAAAAUUAAUGUUGUCAAGACAAACAAAUAAAUAAAAAAACUUUGUUCAACUUUAAACUCGGGUAAUAUCAUUGGAAGUCAAAACAUAAAAUAGCUAGUUUUCACCAGACCUUAUAGCACCAUGGUGCUAUCUGAAGAGAUUGACAAAAGAUUGCAUUAAAAAUGAAGUUCUACCUCCUAUUAAUUUCAAUCCUUACAGUGUUAUUUUAACAUACUGGGGAGAACACUGCCAAUAUCAAAUAAGAUAAUGCCACACAUCAUCUUUCCAAUUCCUAUUCAUUUACCCUUGUACGCUAGUAGAUAAAUAAUAUGAAUAAUUUAUAACGAUUUUCAUGUAUUCUUCAAUCUACAUGUUUAUAAAAUUUAUAUCCAUUUUGAACCAUCUUUUUUCAAAAAUUGUGAGACUUUCAACUAAUUUUAUAGUGAUGUAUGUCUUUGAAAAAUUAAAUUCUGGCCAUUUUGAAAUCAAAUGGUCCCUAAAACAUUCUGUGACAAGUAAUAAACCAGGUGCUCGCAGGGCGCAGCUUUAUACGACCGCAGAGGUCGAACCCUGAACAGUUGGGGCAAGUAUGGACAAAAUAUUCAAGCGUGAUACAGCUCUGAAUUUGGAUUGAUCAAAUUUUUGACAUUACAUGUUUUUUUUUACACAAAACAAAUGUCAAGAUUUUACAAAUCAAUUAAAGAUUUCUUCUUCAAACUUUUUAAAUCUAAAAUUAAAUAGUUGACACAGCAUAGGUUUCUGACACAGAAUGAAUGUGGUCUAAUGAACUUAAAAUAUUUUUUUGCCUUUGAGCAAUUCACUAUGCUGUUGAAUAUUAAUCCUCUCAAAAAAAUGUUUGAAGAAAUUUUCUUUUAUUUAUGAAAUCUGAAAUGAGAAAAAUUUAAACCCCCCCCCCCCCUUUUUUUCAC
rnacentral:lncRNA from 1 species